CUGGAAGAUUUUGUAUUCUGUCUCCACGUACAAGCAUUGCACAGUCCAUCUUUUUCAGCGUUCUCUGUGGGCUGACUGCCGUCAUCAAGAGCCACCGGAUCAACUGAAAUCAGCAUGAACAGGGCAUGCAAAUAGAGUACAUUGCUCUAAUACUCAGCUCAUGACCAGUGACGUAAGCCGAAAAUGAUGACUGCAGAAGCAGGUGACAGAGGUGAGGAAAGUAAGCAAAAGGUGAAAAGAAAACCAAGAUGUUCGUGGAUUUGGGAUGUUAAGGAGUCUCCCCUCAACAUGCACUUGGGCUGUGCCUGCAGUUUGAGUACCAGGGCAAACCUGGCAGGUGAUUGCCUCACCUCAGGAGCAGUGGGAGACAGUGAAUUCCUGCAUUCUUCUUCAAUGUCUGUUAGAAUAGCUGAAGAAAAACAGCCCCAAGGUCACAGGAGGAAAGGAGCAUGAUCUCCAGAGCCAGGCGUGUGGCUUGCCCCUUCGCUGUCCACAGCGUUUUUUGAAACUCAGUGCAUGACAGGUUGAAAUGUCUUUGCUUUGGUCCCGCUCCGUGGUCCUGACUCUACUGAGGGCAGGAAUGGGCAGGAGGGGGGCAGCCUGCAAAACCUGCCCCCUGCUUGGCUGUGCGUGGUGAACUUUGUACCAGGAUAUUUGGAGUACAUAAAUCUGAGGAACUGCAAGCAAGUAGUUCAUGACUGUUCCUGAAGUUUUAACAAAAUUACAAAAAUAGUAACAGAGGCAGUAGAAAGGCAAGGAACUGGAGGAAGCCUGCCCAAAUGGACCACCACUGCCUUGUUUCAAUCAGUGCUGAAUUACUGAGUAGUCAUGACUAACAUGUGAUUCACACUGACAGGAAGACCUGCUCACAGCUGGCAGAGUUUUCGUUGGGCACUGGGCACAGGGUAAGGACAGUCUGCGUUCUCAGGGAGGUUUGUGUCUCCAAACCACGCCUGAGCAGUGAGGCAGGAGGAAGGCUGGAGCCACGUGUCCAUGCUGCAUCUCGUGGACAGCUGAUGUUCAGGCUCAGGCCUUCCAGCAACGUCAUCUCCAGCUUCAGACACAGACAGAAGCAAAAGGGCUGCUCUGGUGAUCGAGCAGCUUGGCUGCUACACGCACCACAGCAAGAGUCAACAUUCGGAGAAGUUUCUUGAAAACAGAAAAAUCCUUGUCGCUGCCGUGCCACCAAGAUGAAGCCGCUGUUUGCCAUUCCCUGGGGAGCACAGUUUACUCCUCCGUUAGCGCAAAAACCAGCACAGGUGUUCCUGCUGGUGACUGGAUAAGAUUACGAAUCACUGCAGCUCAGCCCUGAGCCUCAAAGACACCGAUGCCUAUGUGGAAGUAGUCCCAGCUGUGAAGCUGUCUGUGCUGCUCUGGGGACAAGGGGGAUGAUUUGUUAAAAGCAGACACGUUACUGGUAAGUAGCACGCUGAGCUUCCCUCAUGGGCACUGAGGAAGAAGCUAAAUGCCUCCGUGCUGCAAGGAGUCACAUGGAAACCUACAAGUUUGGGAGGUGAGGAGCCUGGUUCCCUUAGGGCAGAAAUCACCCACUGCGUCCAACUGGGCAAGGCUACGCUGAGCUAUCUUGAAAAUUUUGAUUAUUUUAAUGCUAAAACAUCUUUAUUUCUCUAAAUAAAACUGCAGUUAUGCUAUUAGUGUCUCCCAUCCUGUUCCCCCCUCCUUCUGUAUUCUGUAUGGCAUGAUAGGAAACUGCAGGCAUCUUUUCAAUAUUGUUUUAUUUCCUUCAGCAGUGAUUAGAAAUGGACUUAGCUUGGCAGGAAACACUAAAGAAGGUCUGUCAAAGAGACGGCUUGGCCCUCUCAUGCAAGGAGCCCUUCAGGUCUGAGUUCCUGCCAGGAAUGCCACCCACCGCUUCCGAGCGCUGGGCUCCAGUUUCACCGACUCCUUCCUGAAGAGGCAGGGAUGUGCUCAGGAGCUAGCAGGAGGAGGAGGGAAGCUUGUCG